ensembl:lncRNA
CUUUCUGGGGGCAAAUUCAAUUUUAAAAAUUGAUAAUUGGAAGGGAAAACUAUCUUCCCCAGGUCUGUCACUGCAGAGGGCUCCUGGAUUUAAUACUCCUGAUUUUGCUUUGCCUGACACAGAUUUCUCUCUUUUUUUCUUCCACAGGUCAAAAUCAUUAACUUUUUGCUUCUCAAAAUCACUAGGACCCUCUUCUAAUAUAAUGUUGGGCUUUCUUCAAGUACCACACAAGAAGACAUCCCAGGGACAUCUGGAUCCCCAGCUAUUUCAUUUUACAUCUUGGUAUUACCCUCACUCCUCAGAGCUGAGUUCUAAGUCCAGUCACUUACUGAAAAUAUGACUUCCCAGGGACCUUCAGACUUGGACAAAAUCUUGCCUGCUCCCUAUGGAUGGAAGAAGAUGAGUUUGACCAGAUGCUCACUAUACCUUUCAGGAAGUUCAGACCUUAAUCAGUUGUUUUUGCAGAAGACAUUUUUGGUUCAUCCAUAAGACAAAUUAAAAUU